AGGACGGACGCUGGCGGCGUGCUUAACACAUGCAAGUCGAGCGAGGCCCCUUCCUUCGGGAGGGGAGCCCUAGCGGCGAACGGGUGAGUAACACGUGGGCAAUCUGCCCCUAGCACUGGGAUAACUCCGGGAAACCGGGGCUAAUACCGGAUAUGACCUCCGAGGGCAUCCUCUGGAGGUGGAAAGGAUUCUGGCUAGGGAUGAGCCCGCGGCCUAUCAGCUAGUUGGUGGGGUAAUGGCCCACCAAGGCGACGACGGGGUA
rnacentral:rRNA from 1 species